rnacentral:rRNA from 1 species
AUGAACGCUGGCGGCGUGCCUAAUACAUGCAAGUCGAGCGAACAGACGAGGAGCUUGCUCCUCUGACGUUAGCGGCGGACGGGUGAGUAACACGUGGAUAACCUACCUAUAAGACUGGGAUAACUUCGGGAAACCGGAGCUAAUACCGGAUAAUAUAUUGAACCGCAUGGUUCAAUAGUGAAAGACGGUUUUGCUGUCACUUAUAGAUGGAUCCGCGCCGCAUUAGCUAGUAGGUAAGGUAACGGCUUACCAAGGCAACGAUGCGUAGCCGACCUGAGAGGGUGAUCGGCCACACUGGAACUGAGACACGGUCCAGACUCCUACGGGAGGCAGCAGUAGGGAAUCUUCCGCAAUGGGCGAAAGCCUGACGGAGCAACGCCGCGUGAGUGAUGAAGGUCUUCGGAUCGUAAAACUCUGUUAUUAGGGAAGAACAAAUGUGUAAGUAACUAUGCACGUCUUGACGGUACCUAAUCAGAAAGCCACGGCUAACUACGUG